rnacentral:tRNA from 1 species
GGACAUAGCUCAGUUGGUAGAGUACUUGCCUCACAUGCAAAAGGCCCUGGGUUCAAUACCCAGGGCCA